CCAGACUCCUACGGGAGGCAGCAGUGAGGAAUAUUGGUCAAUGGGCGCUAGCCUGAACCAGCCAAGUAGCGUGAAGGAUGACUGCCCUAUGGGUUGUAAACUUCUUUUAUAUGGGAAUAAAGUGCAGUAUGUAUACUGCUUUGCAUGUACCUUAUGAAUAAGGAUCGGCUAACUCCGUGCCAGCAGCCGCGGUAAUACGGAGGAUGCGAGCGUUAUCCGGAUUUAUUGGGUUUAAAGGGUGCGCAGGCGGCACGGCAAGCCGGCGGUCAAAUCGCGGGGCUCAACCCCGCCCAGCCGUCGGAACUGCCGGGCUAGAGUGGGCGAGAAGUGCGCGGAAUGCGUGGUGUAGCGGUGAAAUGCAUAGAUAUCACGCAGAACUCCGAUUGUGAAGGCAGCGCACCGGCGCCCUACUGACGCUCAGGCACGAAAGCGUGGGUAUCGAACAGGAUUAGAUACCCCAGUAUG
rnacentral:rRNA from 1 species